rnacentral:rRNA from 1 species
GUAAAGGCACAAGGGAGCUUGACUGCGAGACCUACAAGUCGAGCAGGGACGAAAGUCGGGCUUAGUGAUCCGGUGGUUCCGCAUGGAAGGGCCAUCGCUCAACGGAUAAAAGCUACCCCGGGGAUAACAGGCUUAUCUCCCCCAAGAGUCCACAUCGACGGGGAGGUUUGGCACCUCGAUGUCGGCUCAUCGCAUCCUGGGGCUGUAGUCGGUCCCAAGGGUUGGGCUGUUCGCCCAUUAAAGCGGUACGCGAGCUGGGUUCAGAACGUCGUGAGACAGUUCGGUCCCUAUCCGUCGCGGGCGCAGGAAAUUUGAGAGGAGCUGUCCUUAGUACGAGAGGACCGGGAUGGACGCACCGCUGGUGUACCAGUUGUUCUGCCAAGGGCAUCGCUGGGUAGCUAUGUGCGGACGGGAUAAGUGCUGAAAGCAUCUAAGCAUGAAGCCCCCCUCAAGAUGAGAUUUCCCAUUCCGCAAGGAAGUAAGAUCCCUGAAAGAUGAUCAGGUUGAUAGGUCUGAGGUGGAAGUGUGGCGACACAUGGAGCUGACAGAUACUAAUCGAUCGAGGGCUUAACCAUAUUU